UAUAGAGGCAAAAUCCAUUUUAAUUAUAAGCUAAGUUUAUGUAAAUAUAAUUUCCCACUCUCUGUAAAUGUAGUAAAUAUUAUAGAAGAAAAUUGUUCCAUAUAAUUAUAUAUAAAGGUAUAAAAUAUAACAUUAUUAUCAAUUUAUAUUGUUUAUUAGAAUGUGUGUGUCCCACCCCUGCAGUACUUCAGCAUUCUGAGGUAACAAGACAGUUGGCUUACUGCAUCUUAGAAAGGCUUAUUGAUUUUGUUAUUGCUACAACUAUCAUGGAAGCAGAGGCAGCAAUUUCUCAAGCCUAGUUCCAAAAGGAUUAAACCUGACAAAGAUUUAUAAACAACCUGUUCAGUGGCUGCUGAUUAACUCCCCAAGAUUGAUGUACUGAAGAAGGAUGACCUCCCCUUGACACCAAUGCUACUAGUCAAUAACGACCACUGUGACUCAGAACAAAUUCUCUGGGGGCAGGCAGUGAAGCUUCUUCUCUUGUUGACCUUACCAGACCACAAGGCUGAAAAUAUUCUGUGGCCUGAUGCCCUUAAAUUGAUCAUAUUAAUACAAUCAAGCAGAAAAGAAAUUAAUUUUCCCUCUCUCUCUCUGUCUAUAUAUAUACUUACUACUAUAUAUAUGUGUGUAUAUAUAUGCUAUAUAUGUGUGUGUAUAUAUAUAGCAGUACAUAUAGAUAUAAUUAGUAUAUAUAGAAGUAGUAAAUAUAUAAAAAUAUAUUUGUAUUCCUCUUCAGCUCCAUACUUGAGAUUAAAAAGUAUCCUUUAAGAGUUCAUACAUCUAGACCUCUCUUCUGAAAAGAAUAAUAAUCUCCUGUUUAUCUAUGCACUUAUUUGCUAAAUAAAGAAGAAUAUUGAGCACCCAAAA
rnacentral:lncRNA from 1 species